rnacentral:tRNA from 1 species
AAAAAAUUAGUUAAAUUAUAACAUUAGUUUGUCAAACUAAAAUUAUUAAAUCAUUAAUAUUUUUUA